rfam:Cutibacterium granulosum DSM 20700 contig242, whole genome shotgun sequence.
CACGUGCUCCGGGGUCGGUGAAAAUCCGAACCGGCGGUGACAGUCCGCGACCCGCGAGGUUCGUCCUUGCGGUUGAAUCGGUGAAACUCCGAUACCGACGGUGACAGUCCGGAUGGGAGGAAGCACGAG